AUGGGCGUCCCGUCAAUCGACCGGGAGGCGGAGAGCCACCCCGCCUACGCCGACUUCGCGGCCCUCCCCUUCUUCGCCACCUUCUUCCUCGCCGCCCGCUUCCUCCUCGACCGCUUCGCAUUCGAGCGGCUAGCCAGGCGUCUGAUUUUCGGGAAGUGGGAUGCGAGGCUUGGCUCCGAGACAGACGCAGAGAGGAUGAAGAUCAGAAAGUUUAAGGAAUCCGCCUGGAAAGGCGUUUAUUUCCUUUCCGCGGAAUUUCUGGCAUUAGCUGUGACGUACAACGAGCCAUGGUUCACGAGCACAAUGAAUUUCUGGGUUGGACCAGGAGACCAAAUUUGGCCAGAUCAAACAAUGAAGUUUAAACUAAAGGGGGUUUACAUGUAUGCUGCUGGUUUUUAUAUGUACUCAAUAAUUGCCCUUCUCUUUUGGGAAACAAGGCGUUCAGACUUUGGCCUUUCGAUGACUCAUCACAUAGCAUCUGUUUUUCUCAUUGUAAUGUCGUACAUAUUCAGAUUUGCACGAGUGGGUUCAGUUGUGCUUGCCGUUCAUGAUGCAAGUGAUGUGUUCCUGGAGGUUGGAAAAAUUUCUAAGUACAGUGGACGCCAAUUGCUUGCUGAUGUAUCAUUUCUUCUUUUCGUCAUUUCUUGGGUGAUCCUUCGCCUGAUAUAUUUUCCAUUCUGGAUUCUCUGGAGCACUAGCUAUGAAAUUGUUCAUAUUUUGAACAAGGAGAGACAUAAAUUUUAUGGGCCGAUAUACUACUAUGUGUUCAACUGUCUUCUGUUCUCCCUCCUUGUUCUACACAUAUAUUGGUUUGUCUUAAUGAAGCGAAUGCUCGUGAAGCAAAUUCAGUCUAAAGGGCAUGUUGGAGAUGACAUUAGAUCUGAUUCGGAAUCUGACGAGGAACAUGAUGAUUGA
rnacentral:rRNA from 1 species